rnacentral:lncRNA from 1 species
GUUUCUAUGUUUAGGGUUUGGGCAAACUGGUAUUUUCACUCUCAGGGGCUAGCUCCAUUUGUCUGGCCACUUUUCUGACUACAGUGUUGGGUAUUGCACCUUUACAACAAGGCUGUGAGGGCUGAGCACUCAGAGGCAAAGGCAGAGGCAGGGGGAUCCCUGAGUUCAAGGCUACCCAGGGCUACACAUUCCAUCUCAUCUUCAGCUCUACUGAAAGUUGACAGCUCAGUCUUGAAAACCCACAGCUCUGCUCCUGCUACCAGGAGGAUUCCUGCAUCCAUUUAUUGUAUCCUCCAUUCCAGACUGGGCUCCUAAACCAUGCCACGCCCUAUCUGGGCACCAGGGCUAACAAGAUGCAGAACUCUCAGCUCUCUCCAGCACCAUGUCUGCUUGCAUGCUGCCAUGCUUCUCCCCAUGGUGAUAAUGGACUUAACCUCUGAAACUGGCCCAAGAGGACAUUUAGUCCCAAGACAUGUUCAUGGGCAAAGCUUGCCAAUGUUGCAAGAAGCAGCUGCUGUAAGCAGGCAGGCUGCAGACCUUUGCACACAGCACUGCCUCUCAUAGGCAGGCAACUUAAGUUCUCACCGCCUAUGGGAAGCUGUGCUGUGCUGUCUGGAGCUGGCUGAGGCAAGGCAUGUGAGCUUGAGUGGAGCACGUGCAGGGCCACUGUCAUUAUGGAAAUCCUGACUCUGAAGGCUAAUUCUGUGUCUAAAUGAGUUGAAAUGAA